GAUUAGGGUGAAGGAUCACAAAAAUAAUUCAUAUAUGGAGUUGAGCCCAAAUUAGGUGUCCUAAAGCAGAGACUAUUAGGAACAGUAGUUGUUGUGUCUUGUAGAAACUUCUAUCAGAGGUGGGGCCAGUUUUGUACAAUGAUAGAUUAAAAAUAUCUGGAACGUGUUAGAAUUUGAACUCUUGGGGGAGGGAAAGUCUUUGUCCUCAGGGUCAAACACAGUGCCAGGCACAUUCUGACUUGGCUCAGAGAUAUGUGUCUAGUAACUGAGCCAAAUCGUGUGUCGUUUUAUAGAUGAAGGAAACAAGGUCAGAUGUAGCGGAGGGUUUUUCCAGGUUGCACAGAUGGUCAGCGGCAGAGCGAGGAUGGAACCUUGUGGUCCUGGCCGUUCCUCUGGUGCAACUGGCCCAUUUAGCGUUGUAGAGUACAGGCUGUUCUGGAAAAGAGCUGGGGUGGGGGGCAGAGUCCUAAAAUCCUGACCAGCUGCAGCUCAGGGGGCAAAAACUCAUGUUUUUAGUGGAACCUCGUGGUCGAUUGUCUGAACCAUUGUCUCCCUAGCAUUCUUCACCACCUCCCCAAAGCCUACCUACUUUGCACUGUGCCUACCCAGCAAAGUCACAACCCUGAUCAGUGUUGAAUCUGUCUUGCCCCCAGGCUCCUGAGCUUUGUGGGAGAAAAGCCACCUGACGGAUAGGAUGUCAUCGUCGCAAAUAUAUGGAUUCCAGGGCUUCCGGAAGCUCCCAGGACGUAGCGGACACUUGGUAUAUCUUUAUGGAGAGGGGGUGUGAGUGAGGGCACGAAUGAACCAAUCUUGGUCCAAAUAAGGAGCCAUAGUUGUCUUCGGGCAGUUCCUCGCCCAUCCCCUAAGUCCUUGAGCUCAACAACAGAAAACAGCUGUACGUCACUCCCUGGCCUUCAAAUCCCAGCUCACCACCAUCACCAUCAGCACGUUCUCGGGCAAUUUAAUCUCUCAGUGGCUUUUGUGACCUCAUCUGGAUAACGGGUUUGGUGGGAGGAGUUAACGGAUUAAUUCAUGUAAAGUGCUUUGCGCAUUAAUUGGCACAUCUAUAAAUAUUAGCCUAUUAUUAGUACCAGGACUACAGCCGCCCCUCCCUCUGACCCUCAGGCACGGGAAGAAGACCUCGUCCCAGGUACUUGGAGACACUUGGGGCAGCCAGGUGGGGACGCUUUCAUAUUCUCACUCCGCUGCCAGAUUAUAAACUGGGGAGACACAUCCUCCAAUGGGCAUUUCAGCAAGAUCGGGACUUCAGGCGUUGCUUUGGGAUAGGCGAGGGCGUAGUAUGGCAGAAAUUUCCAGGAGAAAUCAAAUCUGGGGUCAUCGAGGAUAACGCCCUCACCGUGCACCUGGGAGAACUGAAACCCUAUAGUGUAAACUCUGACAGUCAAUUUUUUUCCUCUUUGUCUUGCAAAUGCCUGAUUUAAGCGUUGAUUGCCUAGGCGUCCACUUCAAAGGGGCACCCACUUCAAACACAGCUAUCUCAAAUAAACAUGUUGGCAGCCAGGUGACCAGAUAAACACCAGGCGCCCCACCCUCCAGCCCCCAGGCUGGCUCCUUUGUUUCAGAGAUCUUGGUUGAUUUCAGCCGUGGGUAACUGACACUUGGGGCCACCUGUUUUUCCUCCUUUGGCGCUUUAAAUUCCCACUCUUGUGUUUUAAAUUCACCCAAGACACCCUGGGCCCCCACCCACCACUCCGAUGAAAGCAGAACCCCAGGCCUGCUCUCUCUCUACCUGUGACCGUGCUGGACGAGUCAGGUGUGCUACGUCAUUUCCAGGACGUUUCCUAAGCCCUAUGACACUCGGACAUGCCUCUUGUCAACUUUACAAGCCACAGGCUUAGUCGGUCACCUCUGAGAAGAGUUCCUGUAUCAAGGGUCUGUCUUUUGAGGGAAAAGACAAUGGACAGCGAUCGAGGAGAAAUUCAUUUUCUGAUUAAUUUUGUUACUUUGCAGCGUCUGAGGAGUAUGAAGGACGCUGGCAGUUCAAUCCUAGAAGAACACUGGGUAUGUUGCAAUCACAUCAACCUUGGCCGUUCCAGUGACAACGAGAAGCUCCAUCACGGGUCACAGAUGAAGCCCUGCUCUGAAGAGACAGUCAAGACCACCAGACAUUGGAGGGAAAUCUCAGGAGAGUCAAGGCCAAGAUGAACAAAUAGAUCACUUGACUCUGGAAGACGGAAAUAAUUCGAGGGACAGAAGAGAAACUGAACUGAAUUGUGUCAGUGAUCGUGGCUUCUGAAAGAGCAGGCUGCCAUAAAAGAAGAAAUAGAGAAAGCAGGGUUCUUUGAUUCAUUCUCUUCCAAAUUUUAUUUAAAUUCUAACUAACUAACAUACAGUGUCAGGGUUUCGGGAGUGGAAUUUACUGAUUCAUCACUUACCUACAACACCCAGUGCUCAUUACCAGUGUCCUCAUUAAUCCUUAUCACCCAUCUAGCCCAUCCCCCCACCCGCUUCCCCCCAUCAACCCUCAGUUUGUUCUUUAAGAGUCUCUUAUGGUUUGCUUCCCUCUCUCUCUUUUUU